rnacentral:rRNA from 1 species
CCAGACUCCUACGGGAGGCAGCAGUAGGGAAUCUUCGGCAAUGGGGGGAACCCUGACCGAGCAACGCCGCGUGAGUGAAGAAGGUUUUCGGAUCGUAAAGCUCUGUUGUUAAGGAAGAACGAGUGUGAGAAUGGAAAGUUCAUACUGUGACGGUACUUAACCAGAAAGGGACGGCUAACUACGUGCCAGCAGCCGCGGUAAUACGUAGGUCCCGAGCGUUGUCCGGAUUUAUUGGGCGUAAAGCGAGCGCAGGCGGUUAGAUAAGUCUGAAGUUAAAGGCAGUGGCUCAACCAUUGUAGGCUUUGGAAACUGUUUAACUUGAGUGCAGAAGGGGAGAGUGGAAUUCCAUGUGUAGUGGUGAAAUGCGUAGAUAUAUGGAGGAACACCGGUGGCGAAAGCGGCUCUCUGGUCUGUAACUGACGCUGAGGCUCGAAAGCGUGGGGAGCGAACAGGAUUAGAUACCCUGGUAGUCCACGCCGUAAACGAUGAGUGCUAGGUGUUAGGUCCUUUCCGGGACUUAGUGCCGCAGCUAACGCAUUAAGCACUCCGCCUGGGGAGUACGACCGCAAGGUUGAAACUCAAAGGAAUUGACGGGGGCCCGCACAG